AGCACGCGGAUAAUGAUAAAAAGAAAAUAAUACGCGCAGUUCACAUUCAGUGCCCGACUUGAACAGAUCACAGCCACUCCCCGAGAACUCUAGAGAAAUUUCAAACAAGAAAGAAUCGAAUAAUAAUAAUAAUAACGAAUCAAUUGAAAAUUCCGAAAACCGCUUCCGGCUUUUUUAGCGCGUGUGUGACCAAAAAAUAAAACAAAAACCAAACUCUAAAUUUCAUUUUCCAAACCAGUGCUACUUCUCUUUCAAAUAGCCAUAAUUACAAGUCUCCGCGAAAAAAAGAAACAAACAAACAAAUAUUUAUUGAAAACAAAAAACUCUUCUUCACUCUUCAUCCAAAAAAUUAACAAAAACUUCAACCGACUCUGACUCGACACUUAAUUGCAAAUCAGAAACUGAAAUAGAAAUGCAGGAAACAAGCCCAAUAUAAAUAUAAAUAUAUAUAUUUAACAAGAAAUCAAAGCGAAAGAGUUCCCCUGGUAUUUUUCUAAGCCCAAAAUCCGAAAAUCCCUUUCCAAAAAACCCUAAA